CCCAGGUCAGUGUAGCCUGCUCUGCUUCCAGUGAGCUGGGCUCAGUCCCCCACAUGUCAUUGUCUUAGACGCCCAUGGCCUUUGCACAGGCCGAGCCUGAUGUUUGGAACAUCGUCGCCUCUAGGGGGCCUGGCUCCUAAUCAUGCAUCACCUCCUCCAGGAGAACUUUCCUGCCCCUACACUGAGUUCAAGCUUCUCAGACACCAGCCCCAGUUGAGUUCGAGUUAUAACCGUCACCAGUUAUCACACCAUCCUGUAAUCUGUGCGGUGCCCCUUAGGGCAGGACCUGGGUCCUAGAUGUCUCUGUACCUCUAGCCCCAAACCAGGCCUGACCUGUCUCUUGAAGGAGUAUUUGUGUUGAAGAUGGGUGGUAACGUUCAGCAAAAGCCAUGCCCAGGAGACAGGCACAGUACCCAUGGAGACCCAGGGCCAGCUGAUGACAGUGAUGAAUUCCCUUUAGAACUGGCGGACUCUUGGGUGCUUGGAGACACUAUAUAAAUAAGGAACUCUGGCUGUGUGCAUGGGAGAGUAUAUUAACAGGGCUUGGCCUGGCUGUGAGGUGCAGAGAUGCCGUUUCUCUCAGGCUGGGAACUUCAGGAAAGCCAGGACCAAGUCAAUCUUGAUCUAGGCUCUGUCUUCAGCAUCUAGAACCAGGCUUGGCACCAACUGAGUAGGUAAAUUUGGCCAUCUACACACUGAUAUAUAUGCACAUCCUUGGACCCAGCAGUUGCACUCCAGUGUGCAACAGGAUGAAUGGUUACAG
rnacentral:lncRNA from 10 species